AUGGAGAUGACAAGCCGGAGCAGCACGAUGCUGAAGCCGUUCUACCCCACGCCGCACCCUCUCGCCGGCGAGAUGGUCCCACUGACGCUCUUCGACCGCGCCACCUUCGACAUCUUCAUUCCCAUCAUCCUCGCGUACCCCGCGCCAGCUCCGUCCAACGAGGCGCUCAAGGAGGGCCUGCGCCGGGCCGUCGCGCUGUACCCUCACCUGGCAGGACGCCUGGCCGUCGACCACCGGGGCAGGCGUUGCCUCCGCAUCAACGACGAGGGCGUACUUGUCGUAGAGGCCGCCGUCCCCGUCGAUCUGUCGAGCGUUUUGGCCAACGGCAGCGUCGUCGCCAACUCCGAGGGUCUGUACCCUCCGCGGCCGCUACCGGAGGAGCACUUCGACGUGGCGCUGCUGCAGAUCAAGCUAAACCGGUACAAGUGCGGCGGCCUAGCGAUCGGCCUUUCCUGCCACCACCACACCGCCGACGGCCACUCCAUGAGCACCUUCCUCACCACCUGGGCGAGCGCGGUUCGCCAGGGCUGGGAAUUCACCGCGCCGUCCGCUUUCCUCGAGCGGGCGAUCACCGCCGUGCCACGGAGCGUGCCCGUGCCGGUGUUCGACCACCGGUCCACCGAGUUCAAGGGAGAAGAUCCCGCCGUCCCCCUGUUCAAGUUCAAGAAUAUCACGGUGCGCUUCACCGCCGAGUUCAUCGCCGAGCUCAAGGCCCGGGUAGGCGCCCGCUGCAGCACGUUCCAGUGCCUGCUCGCUCACCUGUGGAAGAGGACCACGGCGGCACGCGGCCUCGCGCCCGAGGAGUUCACGCAGGUGAGGGUGGCCGUGAACUGCAGGGGCAGGGCCGACCCUCCCGUGCCCAUGGACUUCUUCGGCAACAUGGUGCUCUGGGCGUUCCCGAGGCUCCAGGUCCGGGACGUCCUGGGCUGGAGCUACGGCGGCGUGGUCGGCGCCAUUCGCGACGCCGUGGCACGCAUCAACGGCGAGUACAUCCGGUCGUUCGUGGACUUCGGGGCCGUAGCUGACGCGCACGGGGAGGAGCUCACGGGCACAGCCGGCAUGAUGUCCUGCCCGAACAUGGAGGUGGACAGCUGGCUGGGGUUCAGCUUCCACCAAGUUGACUUCGGCGGCGGGCCACCGGCCGCGUUCCAGCCGCCCGAUUUGCCGGUCGAGGGGCUGAUGGUCUUCGUGCCCUCGUGCGUGGCCAAGGGCGGCGUCGACGUCUACAUGACCAUUGCGCAUGAUCACGUCGCGGCAUUCCAGUUGACCUGUCACUCCUUGGAUUGA
rnacentral:rRNA from 1 species